AGUGAACGCUGGCGGCGUGCUUAACACAUGCAAGUCGAACGAGGACGGAUUAUAGCUUGCUAUAAUUGUCAGCUAAGUGGCGCACGGGUGAGUAAUGUAUAGGUAAUAUGCCUCUUACUAAGGGAUAACAAAUGGAAACGUUUGCUAAUACCUUAUACUCCUUAUUAACAGAAGUUAAUAAGGGAAAGAUUUAUUGGUAAGAGAUUAGCCUGUAUUGUAUCAGUUAGUUGGUGGGGUAAUGGCUUACCAAGACUAUGACACAUAACUGGUUUGAGAGGAUGAUCAGUCACACUGGAACUGAGACACGGUCCAGACUCCUACGGGAGGCAGCAGUGGGGAAUAGUGCACAAUGGACGAAAGUCUGAUGCAGCAACGCCGCGUGGAGGAUGACACAUUUCGGUGCGUAAACUCCUUUUAUAUGAGAAGAUAAUGACGGUAUUAUAUGAAUAAGCACCGGCUAACUCCGUGCCAGCCGCCGCCGUAAGAC
rnacentral:rRNA from 1 species